rnacentral:lncRNA from 1 species
AUGAAAGAAGAAAUGAGUUUCUUAGGUCAUUCAAUGGUCGAUUAUAUUUGACGUGAACACAUAGUUGAUCGCCUAUUAGGAUUUGACAGUUGAAAUAGAAGAAAUGAGUUUCUUAAUUCAUUCAAUGGUUGAUUAUAUAUGACGUGAACACAUAGUUGAUCGCCUAUUAGGAUUUGACAGUUGAACUAUAUCCUAGGGUGAUCCAGAGCUAUAAGGACAGAAGGAAUUACUACAUUAUUCUUCUACUGGUUCUUGAGAGUAAAUUAUAUACUUCAUGUUAUCCGGUUGUUAAGGAGUGUUGCUAGACGCCACCCUUGAUUAGUAUAUUGAUAUGAUCAAUUUACUAUCGGUUUA